rnacentral:rRNA from 1 species
UGGGGGAAUAUUGCACAAUGGACGAAAGCCUGAUGCAGCAACGCCGCGUGAGUGAUGAAGGUCUUCGGAUUGUAAAGCUCUGUCUUUUGGGACGAUAAUGACGGUACCAAAGGAGGAAGCCACGGCUAACUACGUGCCAGCAGCCGCGGUAAUACGUAGGUGGCGAGCGUUGUCCGGAUUUACUGGGCGUAAAGGGUGCGUAGGCGGAUGUUUAAGUGAGAUGUGAAAUACCCGGGCUUAACUUGGGUGCUGCAUUUCAAACUGGAUAUCUAGAGUGCAGGAGAGGAGAAUGGAAUUCCUAGUGUAGCGGUGAAAUGCGUAGAGAUUAGGAAGAACACCAGUGGCGAAGGCGAUUCUCUGGACUGUAACUGACGCUGAGGCACGAAAGCGUGGGUAGCAAACAGGAUUAGAUACCCUGGUAGUCCACGCCGUAAACGAUGAGUACUAGGUGUAGGAGGUAUCGACCCCUUCUGUGCCGCAGUAAACACAUUAAGUACUCCGCCUGGGAAGUACGAUCGCAAGAUUAAAAC